CAUUGUGCAUCAUAGCUACUGGUCAGGUGGUCGAACAGUCGGAUGGUCGCUUAGGCUUUUAUAUAUAAUAGAUAGUACUGGAAGUCCUAGCCACAGUGAUCAGACAAGAAGAAACUAAUGUCUUCCUCUUUAGACUAUAGGUUCCAUGUGAACAGGCAUAAUCUUGUUCCUGGAUGUAUCCCUAGUGCCCAGCAUGGUGUCUGGCUCAUGGUAGGUGCUUGAUGAUGAUUGGCUCAUUGAAUGAGUACAAUUAGUGUGAUCACAAGUAUAGAAGGAAUGGACACCCAUGUCUAGGGGAUCGAUGGUGAAGGAAUGUGAUCCGAAGGACAGAAGUAAGAAGAAAAUGUGAAUAAUUAGAGUUCUAGGAAAAGAGGUAAGUGCCUCCAUUGUGGAUGAGACUGGGUCUUCUAGAAUUUUGCUAGGUAAAUAGUAGCCCCUAGACCAGAAGCAUCAGCAUCACUUGGGAGAUUGAUGGGAGUGGAAGAUCUUGGUCAACCUGCUGAAACAGAAAUCUGCAUUUAAACAGAUGUCCAGGUGGUUUGUAAGCACGUAAAGUCUGAAAAGCACUGCUCUAUGGUAUGUAUGUGCAAAUAUCCUGUUUCCUAACAUAAUAAUGAGACUGCUGCAGGCACACUGAGCAACAGUGGCUAAGGAGAAAUGAGGAAAGGUGAGGAGUGUGCACCCCUGAAACCAUGACACAACAGGUGUGAUAUUCUGUCUUCAGAUAGGGAAGUCUUUUGUUAUUAGCACAAGGAAGAAGAUGAUGCAACUUAAUGUAGACUUAUCUAUCAUAGCCUAUCCUGAAGUUGGUCUGUGUCCCUCCUGUGACUGAAAGACAACAAAGCAUGCCAAGUUCUCGGGCUGUAAACAUUAUUGACUCACACGGGGGAAAUUACAUCAUCCAAAAAGGGGAAAUGGAAAGGCCAAAGUGUAGGGACUGUUUGUGCCCGAUUUAUUCAUACUGAUUGACUGAAUUUGAGGAAAAGCAAAGAGGAAAUGAGCAGGAACAAAAGAGCAAUGGGAGGGAAGCUGGAGGAUAUGCCAAUGGCAUAGGUCCAUGAUAUUCAAAGUGUGUGUUGUGGAAUUUGGGGUUAUUUGAGGGGUCCCUCAGGGGAUGAUAUGAAGGUGAGUGAAUUGAGGAAGAGACAGAACAGGAAACCAUGUUCGGCCAGAGAAUUGUUUUAUAUAUCUGGGUUCUACCAAGUACGGAGUGGUGCACUGGGGACAUGGAUGGCUUGUGUGCCAUUUCAGAUAGAUGACUAAAAGAGGAUUUGGUCAGUGGGAACAGUUUAACCUAAAUUAUAAAAUGUCAUGGGGGGAGCUUCAUACCCUUCUUUCAGGAAAAGAGAGAAAACACAAAGAUUGAGGCCAUUUAUUUUUGUAGGUACCUAUUAUUUAACCCAAAUAUGCAGCACACAUAUCAUCAUUGUAACUUGAUCCCAGAUCUUUUUCCAACUGAGCCUAGAGUUCAUUGUAGCACAUAAAUCUAGGCAGUCAUUAGCAAUUGAUUAGAAGUGAUACUGGAGAUUAAAUUAAUUUACCAAUUUAAGUUCCAAGUAAAAAGAAGAUGUCAAUUUCUCUAAUUAUCUGUAUUUUAGUAAUGUAACACUGAUUUUAUAUGGGAAGAAGUGAGCAUUUGUCAAUUUUCCUAGCUCCUCACACCAUUUGAACACCUUUCCAAUUACUAGAAUAUUAUCUAUCUAGUGAAUAAUACUUCCCCAUAUAUACAACCCAUAUUUCAUUUUUCCCAUCCUCCCUUGCAGAUAGAGUCCACCAAUCAUCUGCACCUGUGCAAGACUUCUGAUUGGAAGAGAGCAGCCAGAUGAAGCUGGCACUUCACAGAUUCCAGGGAGUGGUGAAGCUUUCUAGGAUAUUAAUGGUGGAUAUACAGGCAUCUGGCUACCAACUUCAGUGAUGCAAGCUGAGUUGAAACACAUCUAAGCAGAAUGCCAGCAUCUCGUGCUCACCGCCGCAGCAGGAGACAUAUGAGGUGGUGAGGAGGAAUCUGAUGUUGCUGGAGAGGGACCGAGAAGCUGAUGGGGAAGAACAUUAGCCUCUGAGGCAAACAGGUAUCUACCCAAGAAAAGUGAAACUCGUUGAGACCAAAGACUGUAUGUGAAUGUUCAGAGUAUCUUCAUAUUUACUCAAAACUUGGAACAACCUGGGUGUUUAUCAACUGGUGAUGGAUAAACUAAUAACGACACAUCCAUACAACUGAAUACUACUCAGCAAUA